UACGUAGGGUGCAAGCGUUAAUCGGAAUUACUGGGCGUAAAGCGUGCGCAGGCGGUUAUGUAAGACAGAUGUGAAAUGCCCGGGCUUAACCUGGGAACUGCAUUUGUGACUGCAUGGCUAGAGUUUGGCAGAGGGGGGUAGAAUUCCACGUGUAGCAGUGAAAUGCGUAGAUAUGUGGAGGAACACCGAUGGCGAAGGCAGGUCUCUGGGCUGACACUGACGCUCAUGCACGAAAGCGUGGGGAGCAAACAGG
rnacentral:rRNA from 1 species